rnacentral:rRNA from 1 species
AUUGAACUCUGGCGGCAGGCCUAACACAUGCAAGUCGCCCGACUGGCGGACGUGUUAGUUAUGUCUGGGAAUCUGCCAGAUGGCGAGCGGUCACUACUGGACCCGGUUGCUAAUACCGCAUCCCUUCGGAUAUGCCCAGGUUGGAUGAGCUAGUAGGUGGGGUAACGGGUCACAAAGGCGACGCACCGUAGCUGGUCUGAGAGGAUGAACAGCCACACUGGAACGGAGACACGGUCCAGACGCCUACGGGAGGCAGCAGUGGGGAAUAUGGGAAAAUGGGCGCAAGCCUGAUGCAGCCAUGCCGCGGGUAUGAAGAAGGCCUUCGGGUUGUAAAGGACGUUCAGGCGGGAGGCGGUACCGACAGAAGAAGCACCGGCUAACUCCGUGCCAGCAGCCGCGGUAAGAC